AGUCAUUCUUCGGUAGUGUAUAGAGAACGAAGGUUCAAAACGGAAAGAAAAUUCUUUAUAUAUGCAGUGUAUUGCAAAGAAAGCUUCAAAACGAAUAGAAAUUUUUAUAUAUAUCUAUAUAUAUAUAAUUGUCUAUUCGUAUAUAUAGACAGUAAAAAUUUAAGAGGAGGUUUUUCAGGAUUUACCCUGAGUGGAAAGUAAUGCGAUGUGAGACAUGUAAUUGGAAACACAUUCUGCCAGGUUGCGUACACUUUUCUCAUCAUAUUCUCACAAAAUGACAGAGCGGCACAAAGCCUGAUUAACCCUCUCACUCCGGGAGGAGCCAAUCACUUCAGCAUACCGCUCUCACGAUGGAAACAACGGCAGGUUUACGGGAGGUAUGGUGGAGUAUCCCCACCCCCGGGCUCCGUGUGCCCGCGGAGAAGACAGAGGCAUGGGUAUCGUUUGUAGUCUAACACUUCGGUACAAGACUUUAUGGAAAGAUUAUGAUGUGUUAUUCUGUUGGUAGAAUAACCUGAGGUCUUACCAUGUUUGUGUUGGCUUUGUAAAUAAAGAAAUAAAACAGAAA